rnacentral:rRNA from 1 species
GACCUCAAAUCAGGUAGGACUACCCGCUGAACUUAAGCAUAUCAAUAAGCGGAGGAAAAGAAACUAACAAGGAUUCCCCUAGUAACUGCGAGUGAAGCGGGAAAAGCUCAAAUUUAAAAGCUGGCGGUCUUUGGCCGUCCGCAUUGUAAUCUAGAGAAGUGUUACCCGCGUUGGACCGUGUACAAGUCUCCUGGAAUGGAGCGUCAUAGAGGGUGACAAUCCCGUCUUUGACACGGACUCCCAAGGCUUUGUGGUGCGCUCUCAAAGAGUCGAGUUGUUUGGGAAUGCAGCUCUAAAUGGGUGGUAAAUUCCAUCUAAAGCUAAAUAUUGGCGAGAGACCGAUAGCGAACAAGUACCGUGAGGGAAAGAUGAAAAGAACUUUGGAAAGAGAGUUAAACAGUACGUGAAAUUGCUGAAAGGGAAACGCUUGAAGUCAGUCGCGUCGUCCGGAGAUCAACCUUGCUUUUGCUGGGCGUACUCUCCGGUUGACGGGCCAGCAUCAGUUUUGGCCACUGGAAAAGGGCGGAGGAAAUGUGGCAUCCUCGGAUGUGUUAUAGUCUUCCGUCGUAUACAGUGGCUGGGACUGAGGAACUCAGCACGCCGCAAGGCCGGGAUUUAUCCACGUACGUGCUUAGGAUGCUGGCAUAAUGGCUUUAAUCGACCCGUCUUGAAACACGGACCAAGGAGUCUAACAUGCCUGCGAGUGUUUGGGUGGAAAACCCGAGCGCGUAAUGAAAGUGAAAGUUGAGAUCCCUGUCGUGGGGAGCAUCGACGCCCGGACCAGACCUUUUGUGACGGAUCUGCGGUAGAGCAUGUAUGUUGGGACCCGAAAGAUGGUGAACUAUGCCUGAAUAGGGUGAAGCCAGAGGAAACUCUGGUGGAGGCUCGUAGCGAUUCUGACGUGCAAAUCGAUCGUCAAAUUUGGGUAUAGGGGCGAAAGACUAAUCGAACCAUCUAGUAGCUGGUUCCU